GUAGAAGUGAUGCAAGCAGUGAAUGGGAAAUCAGGAAAAUUUCCAUUAACCUCUGCCUAAGUCCUUUAGGGCUCUGUCUCUGUUUUGUUCCUCUUAAGGCUGUCACCUCUAUGCCCAACGAUUAUCUCAUUGGUUCCAGGACAUUGUUACCAUUUAUCUCCACUGGACAUCUAUUUUCUUUCCAAAAGCACAGUCAAUGUGCCUUCUCCCUGAUUUUCUCUGCCAAAUAUAUCAGAUUGUGGGAGGUUUAUGGAUACACAAUGCUUCACGGGCAACCUGAAAGGUAGGGGGACUGCGAGGCGAUACUGCAAAAAAAAAGUGUGAUGGAGAAAGCGUGAGUGACUACUGGAAGACAGACCUGAGAUAAUUAGUGAAGAGGUGACAGUGAAUAUUACCAUGAUUUGUUUCACCAGGUUGUGUUUCAAAGAUAAUGAAGAACUAUUAAAUCAUUUUCUUUUUUUUCUUUGAGAUAUUAAAGAAUAAAUGAAAGGAAUGUGCAGAUGCUAAUUAUAAAUAUCAAUUAUGAUAAGUUUGAGUAGCUACCUACUUUAUACCACGCUCCAGAAAUAUUUGUUAUGCAAAUGUAUAAACUCGACCCAGUGG
rnacentral:lncRNA from 1 species